rnacentral:rRNA from 1 species
UCUACUUAACGCGUUACGUCCGGAAAGCCACGGCUCAAGGCCACAACCUCCAAGUAGACAUCGUUUACGGCGUGGACUACCAGGGUAUCUAAUCCUGUUUGCUCCCCACGCUUUCGCAUCUDAGCGUCAGUCUUUGUCCAGGGGGCCGCCUUCGCCACCGGUAUUCCUUCAGAUCUCUACGCAUUUCACCGCUACACCUGAAAUUCUACCCCCCUCUACAAGACUCUAGUCUGCCAGUUCAAAAUGCUGUUCCGAGGUUGAGCCCCGGGCUUUCACAUCUUGCUUAACAGACGCCUGCAUGCGCUUUACGCCCAGUAAUUCCGAUUAACGCUCGCACCCUCCGUAUUACCGCGGCUGCUGGCACGGAGUUAGCCGGUGCUUCUUCUGUCGCUAACGUCAAGAUAAACAGCUAUUAACUGCUCACCCUUCCUCACGACUGAAAGUACUUUACAACCCGAAGCCUUCUUCAUACACGCGGCAUGGCUGCAUCAGGGUUUCCCCAUUGUGCGAUAUUCCCCACUGCUGCCUCCCGUAGAGUCUGGACCGUGUCUCAGUUCAGUGUGGCUGAUCAUCCUCUCAGACCAGCUAGGGAUCGUUGCUUGGUGAGCUUUACCCACCAACAAG